GGGGGACGGAGAAGGCUAUGUUGGCCGGGCGACGGUUGUCCCGGUUUAAGCGUGUAGGUGUGUGUUCCAGGUAAAUCCGGUUCACUUUAACACUGAGGCGUGACGACGAGGCACUACGGUGCUGAAGCAACAAAUGCCCUGCUUCCAGGAAAAGCCUCUAAGCAUCAGGUAACAUCAAAUCGUACCCCAAACCGACACAGGUGGUCAGGUAGAGAAUACCAAGGCGCUUGAGAGAACUCGGGUGAAGGAACUAGGCAAAAUGGUGCCGUAACUUCGGGAGAAGGCACGCUGACACGUAGGUGAAGUGAUUUACUCAUGGAGCUGAAGUCAGUCGAAGAUACCAGCUGGCUGCAACUGUUUAUUAAAAACACAGCACUGUGCAAACACGAAAGUGGACGUAUACGGUGUGACGCCUGCCCGGUGCCGGAAGGUUAAUUGAUGGGGUCAGCGCAAGCGAAGCUCCUGAUCGAAGCCCCGGUAAACGGCGGCCGUAACUAUAACGGUCCUAAGGUAGCGAAAUUCCUUGUCGGGUAAGUUCCGACCUGCACGAAUGGCGUAAUGAUGGCCAGGCUGUCUCCACCCGAGACUCAGUGAAAUUGAACUCGCUGUGAAGAUGCAGUGUACCCGCGGCAAGACGGAAAGACCCCGUGAACCUUUACUAUAGCUUGACACUGAACAUUGAGCCUUGAUGUGUAGGAUAGGUGGGAGGCUUUGAAGUGUGGACGCCAGUCUGCAUGGAGCCGACCUUGAAAUACCACCCUUUAAUGUUUGAUGUUCUAACGUGGACCCGUUACCCGGGUUGCGGACAGUGUCUGGUGGGUAGUUUGACUGGGGCGGUCUCCUCCUAAAGAGUAACGGAGGAGCACGAAGGUUGGCUAAUCCUGGUCGGACAUCAGGAGGUUAGUGCAAUGGCAUAAGCCAGCUUGACUGCGAGCGUGACGGCGCGAGCAGGUGCGAAAGCAGGUCAUAGUGAUCCGGUGGUUCUGAAUGGAAGGGCCAUCGCUCAACGGAUAAAAGGUACUCCGGGGAUAACAGGCUGAUACCGCCCAAGAGUUCAUAUCGACGGCGGUGUUUGGCACCUCGAUGUCGGCUCAUCACAUCCUGGGGCUGAAGUAGGUCCCAAGGGUAUGGCUGUUCGCCAUUUAAAGUGGUACGCGAGCUGGGUUUAGAACGUCGUGAGACAGUUCGGUCCCUAUCUGCCGUGGGCGCUGGAGAACUGAGGGGGGCUGCUCCUAGUACGAGAGGACCGGAGUGGACGCAUCACUGGUGUUCGGGUUGUCAUGCCAAUGGCACUGCCCGGUAGCUAAAUGCGGAAGAGAUAAGUGCUGAAAGCAUCUAAGCACGAAACUUGCCCCGA
rnacentral:rRNA from 3 species